AUUGAACGCUGGCGGCAUGCUUUACACAUGCAAGCCGAACGGUAACAGGGUGCUUGCACCGCUGACGAGUGGCGAACGGGUGAGUAAUGCGUCGGAACGUGCCGAGUAGUGGGGGAUAACGCAGCGAAAGUUGUGCUAAUACCGCAUACGUACUGAGGUAGAAAGUGGGGGACCUUCGGGCCUCACGCUAUUCGAGCGGCCGACGUCUGAUUAGCUAGUAGGUGAGGUAAAGGCUCACCUAGGCGACGAUCAGUAGCGGGUCUGAGAGGAUGAUCCGCCACACUGGGACGGAGACACGGCCCAGACUCCUACGGGAGGCAGCAGUGGGGAAUUUUGGACAAUGGGCGAAAGCCUGAUCCAGCCAUGCCGCGUGUCUGAAGAAGGCCUUCGGGUUGUAAAGGACUUUUGUCAGGGAGGAAAUCCCUAGUGCUAAUAACACUGGGGGAUGACAGUACCUGAAGAAUAAGCACCGGCUAACUACGUGCCAGCCGCCGCUGUAA
rnacentral:rRNA from 1 species